rnacentral:rRNA from 1 species
UACAGAGGUCUCAAGCGUUGUUCGGAUUCAUUGGGCGUAAAGGGUGCGUAGGUGGCGCUGUAAGUCGGGUGUGAAAUUUCGGAGCUUAACUCCGAAACUGCAUUCGAUACUGCGGUGCUUGAGGACUGGAGAGGAGACUGGAAUUCAUGGUGUAGCAGUGAAAUUCGUAGAUAUUCGCAAGAACACCAGUGGCGAAGGCGGCUCACUGGCCCGAUACUGACGCUGAGGCACGAAAGCGUGGGGAGCAAACAGG